GCCCCAGACUCCUACGGGAGGCAGCAGUGGGGGAUAUUGCACAAUGGGGGGAACCCUGAUGCAGCGACGCCGCGUGGGUGAAGAAGCGCCUCGGCGCGUAAAGCCCUAUCGGCAGGGAAGAAGGAGGACGGUACCUGACUAAGAAGCCCCGGCUAACUACGUGCCAGCAGCCGCGGUAAUACGUAGGGGGCAAGCGUUAUCCGGAUUUACUGGGUGUAAGGGGGCGCAGACGGCAGCGCAAGCCAGGAGUGAAAGCCCGGGGCCCAACCCCGGGACUGCUCUUGGAACUGCGCGGCUGGAGUGCAGGAGGGGCAGGCGGAAUUCCUGGUGUAGCGGUGAAAUGCGUAGAUAUCAGGAGGAACACCGGUGGCGAAGGCGGCCUGCUGGACUGCGACUGACGUUGAGGCCCGAAAGCGUGGGGAGCAAACAGGAUUAGAUACCCGCGUAC
rnacentral:rRNA from 1 species